rnacentral:rRNA from 1 species
UACGGGGGGGGCAAGCGUUGUUCGGAAUUACUGGGCGUAAAGGGCUCGUAGGCGGCCAACUAAGUCAGACGUGAAAUCCCUCGGCUUAACCGGGGAACUGCGUCUGAUACUGGAUGGCUUGAGUUUGGGAGAGGGAUGCGGAAUUCCAGGUGUAGCGGUGAAAUGCGUAGAUAUCUGGAGUAACACCGGUGGCGAAGGCGGGUCUCUGGACAGUUCCUGACACUGAGACACGAAGGCCAGGGGAGCAAACGGG